AUGGCUUCCUCGUCCGGCAACGAUGCUGAUCUCACUAUCCCCAGAGAGGGGAUUUAUUGCUAUCAAUAUUUAUUGCUAUCAAUAAAAUGAUUAAAGAGACUCUCCCCAAUGUCCGAGUGGCCAACGAUGCUCGAGAGCUGGUGGUGAACUGCUGCACUGAAUUCAUUCACCUUCUAUCUUCUGAAGCCAAUGAGAUUUGCAACAAGUCGGAAAAGAAGACCAUUUCACCAGAGCAUGUCAUACAAGCACUAGAAAGUUUGGGCUUUGGUUCUUACAUCACUGAAGUAAAAGAAGUCUUACAAGAAUGCAAGACAGUAGCGUUAAAAAGAAGAAAGGUCAGUUCUCGUUUGGAAAACCUUGGCAUUCCUGAAGAAGAAUUGCUGAGACAGCAGCAAGAAUUAUUUGCAAAAGCUAGACAACAACAAGCAGAAUUGGCCCAACAGGAAUGGCUUCAAGUGCAGCAAGCUGCCCAACAAGCCCAGCUUGCUGCUGCCUCAGCCAGUGCAUCCAAUCAGGCAGGAUCUUCUCAGGAUGAAGAUGAAGAUGAUGAUAUCUGAAAUUACCAACUGGGUUUCUAUUUCCUCUAUAGAUGUUUUUCUCUGUACAACAAACAGUGAAAGAAAUGCUUAUCUGCAAUUUUGUAUGUAUCUUGGUGGACUUGCCAUUGGUAUUCUAGGAAUGUCUGCUGUUAAAUUUCAUCUAUUGUGUGCUAUACAUGUAAAAUCUGUCUCUUUGAACUGUUGAAAACUUAAGUUCAGUAUAAUAUCAGUUUUGAAUUUGUAAUGGUGUUUAUGAAAUUUUAGAUAGCAGUGAGUCCUUUAUUUGAUCAAUAAACAGUGUUACAGAAAACUUCAAGUUUAUAAAAAUACAGUGAAAUUUAUACAGAAGCUCUAAA